rnacentral:rRNA from 1 species
GACGAACGCUGGCGGCGUGCUUAACACAUGCAAGUCGAACGGAAAGGCCCUGCUUUUGUGGGGUGCUCGAGUGGCGAACGGGUGAGUAACACGUGAGUAACCUGCCCUUGACUUUGGGAUAACUUCAGGAAACUGGGGCUAAUACCGGAUAGGAGCUCCUGCUGCAUGGUGGGGGUUGGAAAGUUUCGGCGGUUGGGGAUGGACUCGCGGCUUAUCAGCUUGUUGGUGGGGUAGUGGCUUACCAAGGCUUUGACGGGUAGCCGGCCUGAGAGGGUGACCGGCCACAUUGGGACUGAGAUACGGCCCAGACUCCUACGGGAGGCAGCA